rnacentral:tRNA from 1 species
GCCAGACUAGGUCAGUCGAUAGAGCAUGAGACUCUUAAUCUCAGGGUCUUGGGUUCGAGCCUCAUGUUUGGUG